rnacentral:lncRNA from 1 species
CUAUUAUGAAAUAAUAACAAUGUGAAAAAUUAUGGCGUUUUUAAAUUUAUAACAUUUUCAAAGCAACAUUGAAAAAGAACUGUCUUCAUUCAUAUUAAAUAAAAUGAUAUCCUUGCCACAGUACUAGAAAACACUCAACUGACAGUAAGUUAUAAAGAAUUAUGUUAUAUACAGUUGUUCAAAUAGUAUAUUUGUGUAAAUUAGUAAAAAUAAAGUAAGUAAAUGAAACAAAAAGAUGAAGAAAAAGCCCCAAUUUUGACAAUGAUGAUUUUCUGAUUAUCAAUACAUCAUGGAAAAGUUAAAAACAUGCAAUUUUUUAAUCGAAUCCAAUAAGCCAGUUCGACAUUUUGACUGUGUAUCCAAAUAACGUGUUCUGAGUUGGGAGAAAAUACAACUGAA